GGGUCUCUUUACCUUUACCUUAUGAUGUGGCCAUGCUUGGAAGACUGUACAGCUCAGGACACCACAAAAGAUGGAGAAAGUGAAAAACGACAACCAAAAUGGUCAAGCAGCUGAUCCAUUAUAGACAAAAAGGUACCAAUUGGGCUUUUAAAGUUUCAUAACAGCGGUUGGGAAUCUUUUUGACACAGUGGGCCACAUCUUUAUUUACCCCACCCUCCUUGGAUCAGCUCUGGCAUUAUAACCAUCUGACUUACCAAACCGGCCCAGGAAAGUUAAGUGAGUUUCUGCCUAAAUGGGACUGAGCUUCCCCCACAUCAGCUGAAGAGCAGGGAGUCCACACCUGCUUUCUGCAGCUACUUUCUAACUGCCCUACCCUUGGCAUAUGGCACUAGGUGUGAGCAGGUGCGCAUAGUGUGGAGAAACUGGAUUAGUAGAUUUGGAAAAGACAAAGCAAUUCUUCACAAAGGGCAUAGCUAAACUCUGGGAUUUGGCCCCGCAAGGUGUAGUGCUGCCUGCCUGCUUGGCCUGCUUUAAAUGGGGUUUAGACUAGGCCUAAACCUAGCUAAGUUUAUCUAGCAAUACAACUCUGUGGUCCUUUAUGUUAAAUAGUGGGUAGACAUAGCAGACAAUGCAGCAAUUUCUCCAAAGCAGCUCUUGUUUAUUCACAGGCCAGAACAGAACCGAACAGCAAACAGCUCAGCCGGCCUGCUCUUAUAGGCAGCCGGCUGUCAACAUUGUAGCAACUACAACCCAGGGUUUCCCGCCUAAAGUAACUGACGUGGACCUGAGUGAAAACUAUCUACACGAUACUCCUGGUGGCCAGGGUGAGAACUUCAAUACAUAACACUUUACCCCUUUAUGCACCAACUCGCAGUCAUGCAUAGUUCUGUUUGAAUGCAAUCUCCCACAAUUUGAAUCUCUUGUGUUGUGGUUUGUCCUGCAGAUCUUAGAGACAAGAAAUGGCUUGUAAGUGGUUUAGAGGAAGUUUCAUUCCUUUUCUUCCCUUCUUGCUGGUAGUGGCCAAACAGGUUUUGCUUUUGCAUGGUUUUGAAACAACACAAAAACCUGCACAACCAAUUUGGAUAUAAACAAAAGUGAGAUGAGGGCUUAUACCAGUGGUAGGCAACCUAAGGCCCGUGGGCCGGAUGCGGCCCAAUCGCCUUCUCAAUCCGGCCCACUGACGGUCCGAGAAUCAGCGUGUUUUUACAUGAGUAGAAUGUGUCCUUUUGUUUAAAAUUCAUCUCUGGGUUAUUUGUGGGGCAUAGGAAUUCGUUCAUAUAUUUUUUUCAAAAUAUAGUCCAACCCACACAUGGUCUGAGGGACGGUGGACCGCCCCCUGCUGAAAAAGGUUGCUGACCCCUGGCUUACACCAUAAGCAGCAAAUCUCAUUUUCAAGUUACCUUCAAUUCUAGAUAUAAAAAAAGCCUCCAGGGCCUUAUCUUCCUUCCUUGAAGUGGAGCACCAACUGCCACAUUAUUUGUAUGAUAGCUAAUAUGGCCAACUGUCUACUGCAGGUGUGGGAAACCUUUUGUCCUCCAGAUGUAGCUGAACUACAAUUCCCAUCUUGGCUCUGCUUCCCAGGGAUGAUUCAAGUUAUAGUUCAGCAACAUCUGGAGAGCCAAAGGUUUCCCACAGCUGACCUGCUGAAUGGCAGUGAGCCUAUUAUUUUCCCUCUGUGCCAUCUGAAACCAUCUGAAAAUCCAUAUUCUUCUAAUUAAUGCAGGGUAUGACUAAAGAGCAGGGAUACAUUCAAUUCAAUCUACAUUUAAAGAUCAACCUACAUAAUUCACAGUUCCUGACAAAAUAUGGAAGCUGCAAAUGCAGCCAUCUUUUGAAAUUUGCCCUUCUUCGAAUUCUCCAACCAAGCAAUGUGCUUUCUAUGGGGAAAUUGCUUGCAAAAAUGUGUAUAAUAGAAGAAAUCACACCCAAAUGCCGAUGAGUUUCAUGAG
rnacentral:lncRNA from 1 species